AAGUCGUAACAAGGUAACCGUAGGUGAACCUGCGGUUGGAUCAUUAUAGAUUCUACCCUUGAGUGGCACUGAGACCCAGUGCCCCUCUGGUUGGUUGCACUAGUCGAGAUGUUUAUUUCGUCAUAGGCGGCUGAUCACACCACCUUGUGAACCACUGAAAUGUAUUUUGGCGAGUCUUUUAGUUGAAGUGUUGCCUUUAAAGAGACACUUCUGUGACCUUUGUCUGUGUCCUCAGAGAGUAGACCGUUUGUGUUGACUCUCUGUGGGCCGCCCAGUCAGGAGGGUGUCAUUGGUCAAUUGCAGAGAGAAGGAAUGUUCUCUGCAAACUGAGAGGUCGUCACCUGACGCUUAAACAACCUGUCUUGCUCUUGUUUGGCUUAGUUAAAUGUUGGAAUAAGAAACAACUUUAGACAACGGAUCUCUUGGCUCUC
rnacentral:misc_RNA from 1 species